UGAUGUGGAGUGUGUUUGCAUAUUGAUCAGAUCUUCAGUGUGUGAGAGUGUUUAUAGUGCUGUGAGUUUAACACUUCAUCACUGACACACACAACAAUCUUCAUCAACAUGACCUUCAUCAUCAUCUUCAUCUGGACUCUCACAGCGUUUGCUCAAGAGUGUAGAGGACAGAUCACCGUCACUCAGAGUCCCUCAAUAACAGCAGAACAACCAGGAGGAACUGUGAAUAUCAACUGUAAAACUAGCAGAGAUGUGUACAAUGAUGGAUCUGAUGAUUUCUUAGCCUGGUACUCACAGAAACCUGGAGAAGCUCCUAAACUCCUGAUUUAUUGGGCCAAUCGCCUCCAGUCAGGAACUCCAUCUAGAUUCAGUGGCAGUGGAUCUAACAGUGAUUUCACUCUGACCAUCAGUGGAGUCCAGACUGAAGAUGCUGGACAUUAUUACUGUCAGAGUUUAUACUACCCUGCGAGCAUUCGGUGGUUCACACAGUGA